GUUUCGGCUUUAUUAAUGAUAUUUUUCUCUCAAAAAUCCAUUAAAGUUUCAGGAUGAUUUUUGGUCACUUUCUUGACUCAGAAAUAUCCAACACAAUACUCAAAAACUAAUCCUAAAAAAUAAAGAGAAACCAAAAUUCAAAACUUAAGAAAAAACUUACCUUUCUAACGAUUUAUAACCGUCUUUUAACGGUGAGCCUCCCUCCUCUUCUCU
rnacentral:lncRNA from 1 species